rnacentral:rRNA from 1 species
UACGUAGGUGGCAAGCGUUGUCCGGAAUUAUUGGGCGUAAAGCGCGCGUAGGCGGGAUGAUUAGUCUGUUGUGAAAUUGCGGGGCUCAACCCCGUAUUGGCAAUGGAAACUGUCAUUCUUGAGUGCAGGAGAGGAAAGCGGAAUUCCCAGUGUAGCGGUGAAAUGCGUAGAUAUUGGGAGGAACACCAGUGGCGAAGGCGGCUUUCUGGACUGUGUCUGACGCUGAGGAGCGAAAGCCAGGGGAGCGAACGGGAUUAGAUACCCCGGUAGUCCUGGCCGUAAACGAUGGGUACUAGGUGUAGGAGGUAUCGACCCCUUCUGUGCCGGAGUUAACGCAAUAAGUACCCCGCCUGGGGAGUACGACCGCAAGGUUUAA